GAUGAACGCUGGCGGCGUGCUUAACACAUGCAAGUCGAACGAGAAGUGAAGACGGAAACCUUCGGGCGGAAGGCUUUAUUUCGAGUGGCGGGCGGGUGAGUAACGCGUGGGUAACCUGCCUCAUACAGGGGGAUAACAGUUGGAAACGACUGUUAAUACCGCAUAAGACCACGGCACCGCAUGGUGCGGGGGUAAAAACUCCGGUGGUAUGAGAUGGACCCGCGUUCGAUUAGCCAGUUGGCGGGGUAACGGCCCACCAAAGCGACGAUCGAUAGCCGAUCUGAGAGGAUGACCGGCCACAUUGGGACUGAGACACGGCCCAAACUCCUACGGGAGGCAGCAGUGGGGAAUAUUGCACAAUGGGGGAAACCCUGAUGCAGCGACGCCGCGUGAGUGAAGAAGUAUUUCGGUAUGUAAAGCUCUAUCAGCAGGGAAGAAAAUAACGGUACCUGAGUAAGAAGCCCCGGCUAACUACGUG
rnacentral:rRNA from 1 species